rnacentral:rRNA from 1 species
UCCUACGGGAGGCAGCAGUAGGGAAUCUUCCGCAAUGGACGAAAGUCUGACGGAGCAACGCCGCGUGAGCGAUGAAGGCCUUCGGGUUGUAAAGCUCUGUUGUCAGGGAAGAACAAGUAUCGGAGUAACUGCCGGUACCUGACGUACCUACCAGAAGACGUUCCCU